ensembl:lncRNA
UGGAACUCGGCCACCAUGUCGUGACCAAGCGCACAUCCCAUGGGCUGGCCAUGUGAGGAUCUUCCAGCUGACUGCACCAGCUAGCCCCCCAGCCAGUAGCAGCCUCCAGACACUGCAUGGACAUCCUUUACCAUGAUCCCAGCCCCCAGAGCUGAUGACUUCCAGCUGAGGCCCCUGACACAGUGGAAUGGAAUACCAAGAACUGGAAAAAUCUCUGAUUGUCCUGCAGCAAUGGCAUUAAAGGCUGCUCAUAACAUACAGCACCAGAAUUGUGCCAUAAUUUAGCACAAUUGAAAGUUGCUCUGUGACUGCUAAUUUUCCAUCGAGAUGAUUCUGUCUCAAACCAAGAAAAGAAAAGGGUCAACCCCCCAUCCACUUCUGAGUUAUGAUGUCCCAUCCCUUGGGAAGCUGCUGGAGAAGCCAUUUCAUAGCCGAUGAUGCCACGCUUCCUCUGAGCCCAAAAGCGCUGGAGAAGUCAGCACCUCUAUGAGUUUGGUCAAGUCAGAUCUGAGCCUCAAGGAGCCCCAGAGCCCCUGCUUCAGUGGACAAAGUGGCACCCACGCUGGAGCUCAGACAGUGGUAGAAGCGCAGUCGGUGGUGGGAGCGAUCAGACUAUGGCGUCGUCUGCCAGGCUGUCCGUCACGUAGCCAUGAAAGCCUGGAGGCAGG